CAAGAAUUGGGUGUAAAAUAGCAUCUAUAGCCAUGUAUUUGCCUUUCCCCCCAAAUAUACGACGUCUUCUUUAAUCUCACUUUCGAUUAACCCAACGGAUUCAAGCGUGAGGAGUAGGUAGGGCAAGUUAGGCUCAAGAUUGCUAUCGGUCCAAUUCACGCCUUUCCAUCCCCAAAUUCCAUCGAAGACGGUUUUCGUAAUAGCUUCUUUUAAAUUCUGAGUGUAACAGCUUCUCUUAAAUUCCAUUGACCUCAAAACUCACUCACAGGUCCCCUCGCAGUUCCGACCAUACCAGGAUUUCGUUCACCCAUUAUAUCCGACCAUUAAUUUCAUCAGGUUGUGUAUGCGAACGCAUUCUGGGAAGAACAUCUUAGAGCCACUCAAUCUUGAACUUGAAAGGACCCGUAGGAGAAUAAGAAGUGAUCGAAGGAUGUCAACUAUGUGCAACAAGGAGGAUUUAAUGUGAGCAAAGGUGGGGUAGUUGAACCCUUGAAGAAGGAGGAAAAGUAUGACCAAGGGAUCAUGAAGAUAUUGGAAGUGCUAGUGCAAGAUAGAAAGACCAAUGACACCAAGAUUGAGGUUGUUGAAGCAAGGUUGAACAAACUUGAGGCCGGAAUUAACACCGUUGCCACCGCCAUCACCAAUAUCAAGAAUCAAAUGAACCAAGUCCAACAAAAGAUAGAGGAGGACAAGGCAAAGGCAAUAGCACGAGUGGCCGACAUCAAUAAAAAGUGGGUUGCAAAGCAUAAAACGGAGGAAGGUAGCACUUUCGGGAUGAGUUAUGGAGUCUGCCCGACGCCCAGCGGGCCACUGCCGAACAGUCAGAACCACCCGCGAAAGAUGGACUCGUGCGAGACAAUGAGAUUGUACUCCCUUUCCAGCCAAAGAGGAAGUUCAAGCUUGAAGAGCAGUUCAAGCAUUUUUUAAAUAUGUUUUGUAAAGUUCAUACUAGUAUCCCUCUCGUCGAUUCGUUGCAGUAAAUUCCUAGUGCCAUCAUUCAAAGGGAGAAGGCCGUAAAGCAAAAGGAUCCUGGCCAGUUCAUCAUUAGGUGCUCAAUUGGGCAAGGAAAGGUGGACAAGGCUCUCUGCGAUCUAGGAGCAAGCAUCAAACAUCAUGCCAUUGAAGUACUAUGAAAAGCUCAACAUUGGACCACUCAAAACUUCAGAUGUGAUUAUAAGGUUGGCCGAUAACACCGCAAUCAAGACAAUGUGCAUGAUCCAGGAUGUGUUGGUAAAGGUAGGGGAGAGAUCACGAUUAGUGGCAACUAUAGUAGAUCCACCUACAAGAUUGAGAGUGCAAUGCUUAAGUAUGAAGAGGCGCAACGAGCUAAGAUGGAGCAUGAAUGCAGGGUGGUCAUGAUGACCAAACACGUCAAAGCCUUAUAGGCUACUAGAAGGGGAAGAUCUUUCUAACCCUUCUAUUAUCAUUGUUAACACUUUACCUCAAGCUCCUAAAAAGGGCAAGCCUAAGCUUACUAAGGCUCAUUCGCAGGAAAGACAAAAGAAGAAGAAGAAGAAGAAGAAGAAGAAGAAGACUCAACCGCAAGUCGACCCCGAAAUAUAUGUAAUCAAGACCUCGAAGGGGAAAUACAAAUGGUGGAAGAAGUUGAGCACUAAAUUGGUCCCAUUCGCGGUUUUUAGCACUUGGGUCGUCGAUCCGCCCACCUAGUUGGGACACUUCAUGUCGAGCCAAUGACUUUAAACAAAGACGCUUGUUGGGAGACAACCCAACUCAUUUUCUUUUCUUUAUUUUUCGUUAUUUUUGUUUUUCCAUAAUUUUCGUGCAUUUCUGCACCUUAAAAAAAAAUUAUUUUGGAGCGGCCGCUGCACAAUCCACAGCGGACGCUUCCCAUUUUACACAUGUGCAGGUACAGGCCGGGCCCUAGGGUGGGCCUAGCGGUCACUGUGCGGGCCACAGCGGCCCGAUGAAGAGGAGCCGAUUCUGAACGCGUGCAUCGGUCGCUGCAGAACGCGCAUCGGUCGUUGCGCGAGAGGUAGUGACACGAAAACUGCCUAUAAAGGUAUGUUUUCUCAUUCUUUUCUUCAUCUCUUCUCUCCAUUCUUCCUUGCACACGACCCCAACUCAAAUUCAUCAUCAAAUUCACACACCCACACUCUCAUUCUUCCAUUUUAAUUUAAUUCUCAAGCUUUCAUCCUCAAAUUCACUCCAACACAAGGUAUGAAUCCUAACUUUAAUUUUUGAGUUUAGUUUCAAUUAUUUCAUGGAUUUUGCUCUUUAUUGUUGAUUUUUUUCGGUUGAAAAACAUGUCUUAGCUUGAGGGAUGAUUAUGGUAUGUUUUCACAUGAGUUUCAUGGUUAAAUUUUUAUUUAGGUUGGUGAAUUGUUAGUUUUUGUUGGUGAAUUGUUGGUUUUUGUUGGUGAAUUCCCUCUUGUUCGGUUGAAUCCUAACUUUCCUCAUUGUUUAUACAUUGUAAUCAUGUUCAUAGCAUUGUGAGGCUAUUAUUACUUCCAUGAAUUGCGAUACAUGUGUAGAUUAUAGAGAUUGUUGGUUUCUGAUGUUCAUGCUGAUACAUCUCUGCAUGAGGGAUUAAUUCACGUUGGGGGAUGGAUUGUUGUUGUUCUAAUGUGUUGGUUUUAUUUUACAUGUUCACAUGCUACACCUUAGAACACAUGUUUAAUACAAGCUUGCACAUCAUUGUUGAUUGUUGAUAUAUUUGUAGUUGAGUGCAAGUUUGGGGGAACCCUUGUUUGUCUACUGUUUGGUGCUCUUUUAAGAAUGUAAUUUUAUUUUGUAGGAAAAUGACAACAAAAGGGAAGCCCGAAAACGCGAAGAGCUAUGGAGUUAGCUUUCCAACCGAUGACCACAAGCGAUGUGAAAGAGAGUCUCGGCUAGAGACACGGUGCCUUCACGGUACCCCCACGAGCUUCCCCUCACCACCUUGGGUAUUCUCGAAGACUUUUGGGCGUGGUGCAACGUCGGGGAUGGAAACGACCUAAUCCAAAUGUUCCAAAUGAGAUGACCCUCAUAUAGGAGACUCACUCUCGAGUUCCUAAGCACGCUCAAGGUGCUCAAGAACCUCCGUUCCCGCAUCCCCGAGACGAUAGACUUCCGCCUCGGCAACCGCAACCACACCUUCUCUAUGGAGGAUCUCUAUGAGGUGUUCCAUUUUUACAACCUCAACCCCGACGAAGGAGUGGAGUAUGACUACUCCGAUAUUUGGAGAGCCAUGACCAUAGAGGGAGAGGACUUCAUCCCGGCCUACGCUAAGUCCUCUUCCUUCAGCAACCCCGUCCUAAGGUACCUCCACCAGGCCAUGACCCAACUUAUGUUCGCUCGGAUUGACCAUAGAGGAGUGUCCCAAACCGAAGAGCCAUUGAGGCAAACCCCGUUCAAGGGGAGUUUAGGAAGAGGAACAUGCCGAUGCACAUCCCCGCCUUCGACCCCGAGGAGGACUCCGUCUUCGACGACAUCGAUCAAUACCAUGAACGCGGAGAGCAUUCACAUACUCAAGGGAGUGGGGCACCGCCGCAGCAAGAGGAAGAAGAAGAAGAGGAAGAAGUUGAGGGUCACCGUCUCCGCAAUCGAGCCAAACGCCGUCACGGAAGGCCAAAUGCUAAUGAAGAGUUUCAAGCCGAUACCUCCGCCCACUAGGAGAGAUGUUCUCCUACAUGCAAAAUAUGUCCAACACUUGGGACAAUAGAUGGGCGGAGCAACAAGUCCACCUACAUCCAUCAUUACUCUUCCUCAGAAUGACGUUCCUUCUUCUACCGAGGAUGUCAACUAUGUCCAAAAUGGGGGUAAUCCCAAUAGGUCAUGUAACAACAAUUACCACUCUAGUUAGGGGGUGGAAAUUUUAAU